rnacentral:lncRNA from 1 species
GGAACCUCCUCAAGAGCGGGUGGAGAUCCCUUUUCCAUUGCCGAAGAUUGAGUUGAAAAAUGAUCCCAAAAUCUUGGAAUUUGAAAUUGGAAAUAGUUUUCAAAUUAGUGAAGAUAUUGUGAACGUGAUAUUUAAAGGACAUGCAUGCGAUAAGGAUGAUUUAAAUUGAAUGAAUCAUCACAAUUUGACAGCUAAUAUUGAUGAUGCCUUAAUUAUGUCAAAGGUGGAAAGUCACGAGACAAGUAAGCUUGUGUUGUAGGAGCCCAUUGGUUAAUGAGACUGAGAGUCAUCAUCCACUGAAGCCCAUCUUGGCGGUUGUAAUUUUAACACU